UGGGGAAUAUUGGGCAAUGGGCGCAAGCCUGACCCAGCAACGCCGCGUGAGGGAAGAGGGUUUUCGGAUUGUAAACCUCUGUCCUUGGUGACGAAGGAAGUGACGGUAGCCAAGGAGGAAGCCCCGGCUAACUACGUGCCAGCAGCCGCGGUAAUACGUAGGGGGCGAGCGUUGUCCGGAUUUACUGGGUGUAAAGGGCGUGCAGCCGGAGAGACAAGUCAGAUGUGAAAUCCGCGGGCUUAACCCGCGAACUGCAUUUGAAACUGUUUCCCUUGAGUAUCGGAGAGGUAAUCGGAAUUCCUAGUGUAGCGGUGAAAUGCGUAGAUAUUAGGAAGAACACCAGUGGCGAAGGCGGAUUACUGGACGACAACUGACGGUGAGGCGCGAAAGCGUGGGGAGCAAACAGGAUUAGAUACCCUGGUAGU
rnacentral:rRNA from 1 species